ensembl:lncRNA
AUUCCAAUCGGAAUGUUCCCAGGAGGAGGCAGUUGAAGCUGGCCAGGGAGAGAAACUGGUAUUUGAUUCUCUCUCUCUGGGGGUGACUGGCCAAGAAAGGAGACUUUGGCUCUCUGGAGUUUUUUCUGACCAAGGGAGGUGCAACAAUAAAUGGAUGGCUGCAGUCAAAGGAAAAACUGAUCUUCAUUGUACAAGAGCAACAUUGCAAAGCCAAAGGAAGUUCUCUUUGAAGAAUACAACACUGAAUAGAUAAGCAAUUAGACAAGUUAGCAUAAUAUACUUGCAAGACAUAAAUAUAAAACAAUUUUUGUAGGGAGAGAGCCUUUAGUAAAUGGGGAACUAAGGUUAGGCCUUUUGAUGGAGGCCAAUCCUGAUGUGCAGUAUAAAAGAACUUGAGUAUUUUUAGUGGAAGUGAGACUGGAGUACACACCAUAAAGGGGGGAACAACUCCCCUUAGAUUGACUCUGAAGGAAAGUGUUGGAGUGAAGAGGUAUUAGACUUCCUACCAAACUGAAGGUCUACAGAGAGCUAUUACACUAGCUUCAUUGUUGUAUGCCAGUGAAAUAUGGACAGUAUACCAGUGUCAUGCUAGGAAAUUGAAUUGCUUCCAUUUGAAUUGUAUUAGGAAGAUUCUAAAGACCACCUACCAAGAUAAGAUACCAGACACUGAGAUACUUUCUCUAACUAAACUACAAAGCAUUCAAACUCUGCUGUAGGAUGUGUGACAUGGAUGGUCUGUCCACAUUGUUUGAAUGCCAAAUGCAUAUUUACUUAAAAGACAAUUUAAUGGAGAACUCACAUUGCAUGAAAGUCAGAAGAGAUAAAAGGACCUUCUAAAUGUCUCCUUUAAGAACUUUUCUAUUGAUUGUGAAACAUGGGAGACACUGGCACAGGACUGUCCAGCUCUGUGCUCUAUGAGUAAAGAAGAAUUGUAGUUGUUUAAAAAAAAAAUGCUGAGCACAAAUUUCGAAACAUCUACAUCCCAAAUGUGCAUAACCUAUGGUGGAGACUUCUGAUCUCAUAUUGAUCCAAUCAGCCACUGUCAAAAACACUGUUCAUUGAUCCCAAUGUAACGAUGUAAUUUUGGUACUCUUUAAGUAUGAAAGACAACUACCAACCAUUUUAACCCUUUGGGAAAUCAGUUCAACUUCAUGACUUCUACAUAAGAGAUCUUUGUCUCCUUAUCUUAUCACCAAUCAUUUAUAAAGAUAUCCCAGUGAUAGAUUUCUCUUCACUAUAUCCUCUUCCAUUCCUGUCUCACAUAAAGAAAUAGUGUUUUCCCUUGGCAAAGUAAACCUUGCAUAUGCUUCCUUAAGCAUAUUAUAUCCUGUAUUCUUGAGCAGGCAGCUUUUCUCUCUCAAUCUUUUAUCUUUCCUUAUCUACUAUUUCCCUCUACUUACAAACAUCCAUAUUUUCUCCAUAUUAAAGAAAAAUAACUUAUUUUAACUCCAUAUCAUUUAUAAAUGUACUUAAAUCUUUCAUAUUCCCAACUAAUUUCCUUGAGAAAAGCCUUUCAAACUUGAUGACCCAUUCUCUGAUUCAAUUCUAAUCUUCUUGAAGUCUGGAUUUCAAACUGAUUAUGAAACUGCUGUUUCCAAAAUUAUAAUAAUCUCUUAAUUGUUUGAUCGAAUAGAUUUCCCCCUUGUUAUCAUUUUUAGAUUUUCUGACUUGUGACCUUCUGAGAGACUCAUAGUCAUUAUGUUUUCUUUACAUAUAUCCUGAAUCAGAGAUCAGUAUGAUUUUCAUGUAGAGUAAGGUUUCUGUUAAUGUUAUUGCUUUUGGCUUCUCUUCUUCUAGAUUGUCCUUUAUUUCCUUGUAUUUCUAUUCCUAAUAAGUUAUUUGAGGCAGCUAGAUGGCUCAGUGUUAAAGCACUAAGCCUAUAGUCAUAAAGACAAGUUAAAAUCCAGUCUUACAUACUAGCUGUGUCACAUUGGGCAUGUUACUUAAUCUCUGUUUGCCUUAAUCCACUAGAAAAGGAAAUGGAAAAUACUCUAGUAUCUUUGCUAAAAACAAAAAACAAAAUUAUGGACAGUAUGUUCCAGAGGGUCAUGAAGAGUCUAAUAUGAUUGAAUGACAACAAUAAAAUAAGUUAUUUUCUCCA